rnacentral:rRNA from 1 species
CGUCUCAGUCAGAUUGCAGGCUGCAACUCGCCUGCAUGAAGUCGGAAUUGCUAGUAAUCGCAGAUCAGCAUGCUGCGGUGAAUACGUUCCCGGGCCUUGUACACACCGCCCGUCACACCAUGGGAGUCGGUAACACCCGAAGUCGGUAGCCUAACCGUAAGGAGGGCGCCGCCGAAGGUGGGAUUGAUGACUGGGGUGAAGUCGUAACAAGGUAAC